rnacentral:rRNA from 1 species
AGUGAACGCUGGCGGUAGGCCUAACACAUGCAAGUCGAACGGCAGCACAGUAAGAGCUUCCUCUUACGGGUGGCGAGUGGCGGACGGGUGAGGAAUACAUCGGAAUCUACUUUUUCGUGGGGGAUAACGUAGGGAAACUUACGCUAAUACCGAAUACGACCUACGGGUGAAAGCAGGGGAUCUUCGGACCUUGCGCGAUUGAAUGAGCCGAUGUCGGAUUAGCUAGUUGGCGGGGUAAAGGCCCACCAAGGCGACGAUCCGUAGCUGGUCUGAGAGGAUGAUCAGCCACACUGGAACUGAGACACGGUCCAGACUCCUACGGGAGGCAGCAGUGGGGAAUAUUGGACAAUGGGCGCAAGCCUGAUCCAGCCAUACCGCGUGGGUGAAGAAGGCCUUCGGGUUGUAAAGCCCUUUUGUUGGGAAAGAAAAGCAGCAGGUUAAUACCCCGCUGUUCUGACGGUACCCAAAGAAUAAGCACCGGCUAACUUCGUG